CCUACGGGUGGCUGCAGUGGGGAAUAUUGCACAAUGGGCGCAAGCCUGAUGCAGCCAUGCCGCGUGUGUGAAGAAGGCCUUCGGGUUGUAAAGCACUUUCAGCGGGGAGGAAGGCGGUGAGGUUAAUAACCUCAUCGAUUGACGUUACCCGCAGAAGAAGCACCGGCUAACUCCGUGCCAGCAGCCGCGGUAAUACGGAGGGUGCAAGCGUUAAUCGGAAUUACUGGGCGUAAAGCGCACGCAGGCGGUCUGUCAAGUCGGAUGUGAAAUCCCCGGGCUCAACCUGGGAACUGCAUUCGAAACUGGCAGGCUAGAGUCUUGUAGAGGGGGGUAGAAUUCCAGGUGUAGCGGUGAAAUGCGUAGAGAUCUGGAGGAAUACCGGUGGCGAAGGCGGCCCCCCGGACAAAGACUGACGCUCAGGUGCGAAAGCGUGGGGAGCAAACAGGAUUAGAUACCCUUGUAGUC
rnacentral:rRNA from 1 species